GCCACUUGAGGUCACAUUAUCAUGCCGCCCCGGGGCAACAUGACUCAGACGGCAGCGCGAGGCCGACGCAUUUCACUGUGAACUCCGCUCCGAUCAGAACCACCUCAUCACGCUUUUGUUGAGACCUCCAAUGCUGAAUGAAAGAUCCCUCCCUAAAAUAGACUAGAGGUCUCACUUCAAAUGACCCGGGACACCCACAGUGUGCAAUGGCACGAGCAAACCACUGUCAGAUUUGUGUGAUGCACGCACAGGGUGAGUGAUUUUCCAUCCGGCAGCGCAGUGAGAGCUGUGGUUUACUUGAAUCACAUGUUGGAGGUACGCUGGUUCACUCAGAAUGAGCCUGUCGCCUGCAGCUCUUCAUCCAAACUCGUUUCACCAUUCCUUUCUCUGCGGUAUUAAAAACUGAUGGACUAGAAAUUAAAAGUGGCUGCUUCAAAAUAAAAGCAUCCACGUGGUUUUUUUGACAAUUGACCGGUUUUAAUGGGGAACGGGAGCGUUGAAUUAGAAAAAAAAUUAAACAGCUUUAAAUUCAGAUUCAUGAAGAUUAACCUGGAACCCCACAACCAUUGACAGUCGGGCUCGAUUACUGGGUUGGCCUGCUCUGCAGGGUCACCAAUUUGGAUAAAGUCUUCUGUCACUUCAUGUAUUUUUCAUUUUGACAAAGCAAUAUAAACAUUUUGUUAUAUGUUACAUGUAAACGUAUGUAUAUAUUGCACAUAUUAAAGCGCCUGUCUCCCUGGGUCAAGCUAAUCCAGUAUUGCCAUAAAGAAGUCCUGCUGAAUAAAACAGAGAUAUUGAAUAAACUACAACCUUGGUUUCAACUGUAUCGCAACAUUUCAAGCAGAUGAAAAACAAUCUCUGCAGUUUCAUGUUAAAUGAGACGAAAAUGUCUUUGCGGAAUAUUAACUCGAAGGGCCAAACGUCACAAAAAGGGGAAGCAAGUGAAUUUGGUGGACAAUACAAGUCACAAAUUAAGCUUUUUAGUGUAAAUGUGGUUAGGCCAGUUAUGUUUAGUCCAUUCCCGGCAUGAGUAAGCACGCUUCCACCGGCCCCCUACUUCCUCAAAAUAAACCUUGAGUCAGGAGUCAGGUGGUGGCUAAUGAGACUCAUCCCCCUGAAAAACGCGUGUGUGGGUGAAUUCAUGCCACCGAAUACGUGGAGUUGUGUAUGGAGGUUCCUGAUUCCUGAAACUCAUAUCUCUUUUCCUGACACACUGUCACACACGAGGCCUUGUCUGGUGACACAGCACUAAUGGCAGCGAGGGUGUAUUGUGAAAACAGUGAGCUGUAUGCUUUGCUGGUUCCGAACAAGGCCGGUGGGUCUGAGCUCUGAUCCUGAUUAACCUCUAUGGAGCCAACCCCCUAACAUCCGGACCCCUCCUGGCAGCACACUCCCGAAUCAAAUCCCUGGUGGGAUGAUCGUGCUAUGAAAUCGGUGGUACUGGUGGUGGAUGUGCACACAGAAGACAAGGGCGCGGAUCAGAAUGGAGAAAAACUGCAAGAUAAUCAUGCAAUGCUUUUUGAUGAUUGUUUUUUUUUUGACAGGACAAAAUAGAGCCGGCAGUGAUACUCCCUUUUAGAUUUUAUAUCUGUGAGGAGCUCGACUGCAUCGCUGCAGAAACCGGCAGAGAUGAGCUGUUCUAAUUAGUGGGAAGUGCUCUCCCCCAUCUCACACUAACGCCUCUCGAUUAACUGCAGUUUCAUUUUUAGGAAUUACACCAGCUCGUAUCCAGGGAACGCUAAUGCUCAUCAGAACUCCUCAAAAGCCUGGAUAAAAACAGUGCAUUAAAGGAUUUACUGCCAGUCAGUCAGACACAAUGGGGCCAAUAAUGGGGCAUUGAGAAUUUGGAUAUUGUUUUUUUUACAUUUUAAAUGAAUAAACGGAAGAAAUUAAAAAUAAAAGAAUUGUCAGUUGUAUUACGGUGUUGGCAAAAUAAACUGCAGAUAUAAAAAGAUAUGGAAAUUGAAUUGUCUGAAGGCUCAAAACAAUCAAAAAUCGAAGAGACCUUAAUUAAAAGAAGUAGGACAGAAGAAGAAUUCAUGUAGACUAAUGUAUUUCAUGGAUGUAGCUGUGAUAUUUUUACACUUCUUCUGCCCAGAGAGAUCAGACAUGAACCCACAGCUAUUAGAACAUAUACAUAUACAUAUAUGUUAUUAUUAUUAUAUUUAAGAAACCUCUGACCAAUGGCUUCCUUCAGCUAAUUGAUUGACCUCCAAUGAUAGGAAGGAUGUCUAUCCGGUUGCCCGUCUAGACAUAUUUAUAGGUCAAGAAAACAAACCAGCAUUGUCCAAACUAAUUUUGUUUUCUAUUUUUUGGGGGGGGGGAAUGAAAUAGAAACGAUUCAAACAAACACUGUAAACAGCCGAGGUGCUGGUGGGAAGCCCAGUGCAAAUAAACACCUCAGGAAGGAAGACAGAGUGAAGGCUUUUCCGGAACAAAUCCUUGUCCAAACAGAAAGGCAGACAAGGAUUUUGUUUGUCUCACCGGCCUCUUGACCCGGGCUUUGUGACGGCAAACUCUGAGAUUUCGUUGUGGAGUCAGUCGGUUAGCUCAGCAGUUAGCAGAGAGCAAAGACGUUGCAUUUAACUAGAUUUUAAUCAUAUUCAUGACCGCUCUGCAGAAGCUCUUCCUCCGCCUGCAGUACAGCGCUGAUGACUUAGCAAUCGUGAGAAGUAGGACUCAAAGCCAGUGAUAUUGACGGCUAUCACUCUUCUAUGUUCAUAACCAAAAUACAUGUAUUCAUCCUGUUGCACAAAAACCUUUAUGACUAUAAAACAGCAUCAUUAAAAACAGCGUGUUGAGUGGUUAAAUGGUUUAAGUGGAUGCACAGAAGGUAAUUGGACUGGACUGUGGGAUAGGACUUGGGCAGCUCCUUCUCUCCUCACGAAGUACUGUACUUUAACUUUCUAAGUUACAUCUGACUCAUUAAAAUAUUCUUCACAUUUAGACACUGAGUAACACACUCAUUCGAAUGGGAUGUGCUGAUUUUAUGUGUGUGUUAAGAGGCCCGGUAUCAGAUUUAGGCCUGGUCCCUGUGGGCUAUAAAGCAUGGUGUUGGAUCACCACUCUGCUGGGGCCUGCGAGGGCCGAGCGUGGAGGGGUGAGGAAGGAAUACUCAGAGGGACGGCAGCAGGAGGCAGUUGUUGUUUUUUUGUCUCACCUCAGUGUUUGUAACUGAUCUCCUUUUCCUCUUGACAGAAAAGACUCUCGCUGAUUUAUCUACUCUUUGUCUUUCAUGAAACCUAAAAUACGUUAAUAAAUUGACUUAUUUUAACCCAAACCAUGACCUUUACCUAAACUAGGUCAACUUGAUGCCUAAACCUAACCUAAAGUGAUGUUUCAGUUCCAAUUCACAUCAACCACGUGUUUACAUAUACAAUGUGCGCCUGUCGCUCGUACGGUCAUAUAUGUAAAGAUCUAUUCAUAUUAGGAUGUGUUGUUCAUUAUGACUAACAUUUUCAAAUUAAACUACGUUACAAUAUUCCCAAA